AAGUCGUAACAAGGUUUCCGUAGGUGAACCUGCGGAAGGAUCAUUACUCUUAGCUUAGGUUCUCGUAACUUAUUGCUAUACUCUAAACACCAAACCGUGCUCUUUUUUCCCACCCCACUCUUAUACCAUCCUUUUCUAUAACUGAACACAUUGUGCAUAGGAUAGUCUACGACCAUCCGACACACAUCUGUACACCCCACCUCAUUUAGAUGUCAUGUCUUAAUGUGUUGUAGUGUACUUGUUGAACCACAGUACGAUUCACACUGAUGUACUCUGUUUAAUUACAGUUUAUGUCUCUGUGCAUUCAUACACGUGAAUACAACUCCGAACAAUGGAUAUCUCGGCUCUC
rnacentral:misc_RNA from 1 species